CAGAGUACCAAUUGGAGGGCAAGUCUGGUGCCAGCAGCCGCGGUAAUUCCAGCUCCAAUAGCGUAUAUUAAACUUGUUGCAGUUAAAAAGCUCGUAGUUGUAUUUCAGCCUCGCGUUUUUUCCCUCUUUUCGGGUCUUUUCGCUGGCUUUGUUUUUACUUUGAGAAAAUUUAGGUGUUUCAAGCAGACUUUUGUCUUGAAUACUUCAGCAUGGAAUAAUAGCGUAGGACCUUGGUUCUAUUUUGUUGGUUUCGAGCCUUGGUAAUGGUUAAUAGGAACGGUUGGGGGCAUUCGUAUUUAACUGUCAGAGGUGAAAUUCUUAGAUUUGUUAAAGACGAACCACUGCGAAAGCAUUUGCCAAGGACGUUUUCAUUAAUCAAGAACGAAAGUUA
rnacentral:rRNA from 1 species